GAGAUAAACUUGCUCGAAAGACAGAAACCAAGCAAUCCCAGCAGUGAAUCAAGCAGAACAGCAAAGUCGAAUCCGAAGAAGUCAAGCUCAAUUUAUAAAUUGAACCCAACGAUGGUGAACGGUCUGCUUUGCGUCGGAGGACGGUUAAACCACGCACCUAUCCAGAACGAUGCCAAGCACCCUGUAAUCCUUCCCCAGAAACAUCAUGUGGCGAAGCUGAUUGUCCUACAUUACCACCAGCUAUCAGGUGAUUCAGGAAUUGAAUACGUAUUGUCUACAUUACGACAGAAAUAUUGGAUAGUCAAGGCAAGAGCACUCGUUCGUAAAUGCUUGAAUGAUUGUUUUGACUGCAGACGAAGACAAUCUCCAGUUGGAGAGCAAAGAAUGGCAGAUCUACCCGAAAGCCGUGUUACACCUUGUCAACCUCCCUUCACCUUCACCGGUGUAGACUGUUUUGGGCCGUUCAACGUGCGACGAGGAAGAAGUCAAGUGAAAAGGUAUGGCG